rnacentral:rRNA from 1 species
UCAAGCUAGAAAGAGCGCAAGGGGAAUGCCUUGGCAUCAGGAGCCGAUGAAGGACGCGACAAGCUGCGAUAAGCUUCGGGUAGCUGCAAAUAAGCAAUGAUCCGGAGAUUUCCGAAUGGGGCAACCCGGCACGGCAAUACCGUGUCAGCGUGCACUGAAUCAAAUAGGUGUACGUGGGGAACCGCCUGAACUGAAACAUCUAAGUAGGGCGAGGAAAAGACAUCAACCGAGAUUCCGCAAGUAGUGGCGAGCGAACGCGGAGGAGGCCAAACCAGAGGUCAUUGAUCUCUGGGGUAUGGACUUGCAUCAUGAUCAGAGGUAUCUAGUCGAAUGGCGUGGGAAAGCCAACCACAGAGGGUGAGAGUCCCGUAGACGAAAGAGAAGACUGACAGCGAGUAUCCAGAGUACCGCCGGACACGUGAAACCCGGUGGGAACAUGGGAGGACCACCUUCCAAGCCUAAAUACUACCUGAUGACCGAUAGUGGAGCAGUACCGUGAGGGAAAGGUGAAAAGAACCCCGGGAGGGGAGUGAAACAGUACCUGAAACCUUGUGCUUACAAGCAGACAUAGCCCGUUAAAGGGUGGUGUCGUACUUUUUGUAGAACGGUCCGGCGAGUUAUAGUAACUGGCGAGCUUAAGGUAUUGAGUACCGGAGGCGAAGCGAAAGCGAGUGUUAAGAGCGCGUAUAGAGUCAGUUGCCAUAGACCCGAAACCAGGUGACCUAGCCAUGUCCAGGAUGAAGUGGAGGUAAAGCUCCAUGGAGGUCCGAACCCACGUUCGUUGCAAUGACCGGGGAUGAGGUGUGGCUAGCGGUGAAAUUCCAAACGAACUUGGAGAUAGCUGGUUCUCCCCGAAAUAGUUUUAGGACUAGCGUUGGGUAUGAGUUUAACGGCGGUAAAGCACUGAAUGGGCUAGGGGGCGAUAAGCUUACUGAACCCUAUCAAACUAAGAAUGCCGUAUAAAUGCUUACCAGCAGUCAGACUGCGAGUAAUAAAAUCCGUAGUCAAAAGGGAAACAGCCCAGAUCUACAGCUAAGGUCCCUAAUACAUGCUAAGUGGAAAACGAUGUGAGAUUGCGAAAACAACCAGGAUGUUGGCUUAGAGGCAGCCACUCGUUCAAAGAGUGCGUAAUAGCUCACUGGUCGAGUGAUCUUGCGCGGAAAAUUUAACGGGGCUAAGCAUGUAACCGAAGCUUAGGGUUUACAGCAAUGUAAGCGGUAGGGGAGCGUCGAAUACGGGGUGAAGUCAUACCGAAAGGAAUGGUGGACUGUAUUCGAGUGAGAAUGCCGGAAUGAGUAGCGAGAAUUAUGUGGGAAUCAUAAUGGCCGAAAAUCUAAGGUUUCUUGGGGAAGGUUCGUCCGCCCAAGGUAAGCCGGGAGCUAAGGCGAGGCCGAAAGGCGUAGUCGAUGCACAUACGGUUGAAAUUCCGUAGCCGCCGAAAUUGUUAAGCACAGGGACACAUAGAGAUAUCCGAACCCGGGCGUUGGUUGACCCGGGCGCAAGGGACCGAACAUCAGUAGGGAAGUCGGAGAUGCUCUGUGGCGAGAAAAGCUGUGUGUAUUGAUUAGGCGCCCGUACCGCAAACCGACACAGGUAGAUGAGGAGAGAAUCCUAAGGCCAACGGGAGAAGGGUUGUUAAGGAACUCGGCAAAUUGACCCCGUAACUUCGGGAGAAGGGGUGCUCCAGAGAUGGAGCCGCAGAGAAUCGGCCCAAGCAACUGUUUACCAAAAACACAGGUUUGUGCUAAAUCGAAAGAUGACGUAUACGAGCUGACGCCUGCCCGGUGCUGGAAGGUUAAGAGGAGAUGUGCAAGCAUUGAAUCGAAGCCCCAGUGAACGGCGGCCGUAACUAUAACGGUCCUAAGGUAGCGAAAUUCCUUGUCAGGUAAG